rnacentral:rRNA from 1 species
GGAACGCAGUAGCAAUACUGAGUGGCAAACGGGUGAGUAUAUGUGGGAAUCUGCCUUUUGGUUUGGAAUAACACGGGGAAACUUGUGCUAAUACCGAAUAAGCCCUUACGGGGAAAGUUUUAACGCCGAAAGAUGAGCCCGCACUUGAUUAGCUAGUUGGUAAGGUAAAAGCUUACCAAGGCAACGAUCAAUAGCUGUUCUUAGAGGAAGACCAGCCACAUUGGGACUGAGACACGGCCCAGACUCCUACGGGAGGCAGCAGUGGGGAAUCUUGCACAAUGGGGGAAACCCUGAUGCAGCGAUGCCGCGUGAGUGAAGAAGGCCCUUGGGUUGUAAAACUCCUUCGUCGGGGAAGAAAAUGACUGUACCCGAAUAAGAAGGUCCGGCUAACUUCGUGCCAGCAGCCGCGGUAAUACGAAGGGACCUAGCGUAGUUCGGAAUUACUGGGCUUAAAGAGCUCGUAGGUGGUUAAAAAAGUUGAUGGUGAAAUCCCAAGGCUCAACCUUGGAACUGCCAUCAAAACUUUUUAGCUAGAGUGUGAUAGAGGUAAGUGGAAUUUCUAGUGUAGAGGUGAAAUUCGUAGAUAUUAGAAAGAACACCAAUGCGAAGGCAACUUACUGGGUCAUUCUGACAUGAGGAGGAAGCAUGGGUAGCGAAAGAUUAGAUCCCUCGAGUCAUGCGUAAACAUGAUGCUAAACUGGAAUUAUUCCAGUGUGAACGAAGAUAAGCCUCCGCUGGGA